rnacentral:rRNA from 1 species
AUUGAACGCUGGCGGCAUGCCUUACACAUGCAAGUCGAACGGUAACAGGUCUUCGGAUGCUGACGAGUGGCGAACGGGUGAGUAAUACAUCGGAACGUGCCCGAGAGUGGGGGAUAACGGAGCGAAAGCUUUGCUAAUACCGCAUACGAUCUCAGGAUGAAAGCAGGGGACCGCAAGGCCUUGCGCUCACGGAGCGGCCGAUGGCAGAUUAGGUAGUUGGUGGGAUAAAGCUUACCAAGCCGACGAUCUGUAGCUGGUCUGAGAGGACGACCAGCCACACUGGGACUGAGACACGGCCCAGACUCCUACGGGAGGCAGCAGUGGGGAAUUUUGGACAAUGGGCGCAAGCCUGAUCCAGCCAUGCCGCGUGCAGGAUGAAGGCCUUCGGGUUGUAAACUGCUUUGUACGGAACGAAACGGCUCUUUCUAAUAAAGAGGGUCUAAUGACGGUACCGUAAGAAUAAGCACCGGCUAACUACGUGCCAAGCAGCCGCGGUAAUACGUAGGGUGCGAGCGUUAAUCGGAAUUACUGGGCGUAAAGCGUGCGCAGGCGGUGAUGUAAGACAGAUGUGAAAUCCCCGGGCUCAACCUGGGAACUGCAUUUGUGACUGCAUCGCUGGAGUGCGGCAGAGGGGGAUGGAAUUCCGCGUGUAGCAGUGAAAUGCGUAGAUAUGCGGAGGAACACCGAUGGCGAAGGCGAUCCCCUGGGCCCUGCACUGACGCUCAUGCACGAAAGCGUGGGGGAGCAAACAGGAUUAGAUA